rnacentral:misc_RNA from 1 species
AAGUCGUAACAAGGUUUCCGUAGGUGAACCUGCGGAAGGAUCAUUAACGAGUUUACUGAGUUGUCGCUGCCCUCUCGGGGGAUGUGCACGCUCUUUUUCACUCAUCUAUACACCUGUGCACCUAUGCGAGUCAAUGGGGGAUUAGCGAAAGAGACCUGCAAAGGUUUCGACUAGCGUUCUCUGUCGGCUCGAUUUUUUUAUAAACUCUUGUAUGUCUUAGAAUGUCUACUUUGCUUAACGCAAUAAAUACAACUUUCAACAACGGAUCUCUUGGCUCUC